rnacentral:rRNA from 1 species
GGAGACUCUGUGCGCGUGCAUAUCAAUAAGCGGAGGAAAAGAAACUAACAAGGAUUCCCCUAGUAACGGCGAGUGAAGCGGGAAGAGCUCAAAUUUGAAAUCUUAAAGGGUUUCCCUUUACGAAUUGUAGUUUAAAGAAGUGUUUUCUGUUGGAGUUUCGGUAAAAGUUCUUUGGAAUAGGACAUCAUAGAGGGUGAGAAUCCCGUAUUUGACCGUUACUUUCCAGCUGUGUGAUACACUUUCAAAGAGUCGGAUUGUUUGGGAAUGCAGUCCAAAAUGGGUGGUAAAUUUCAUCUAAAGCUAAAUAUUGGCGAGAGACCGAUAGCGAACAAGUACCGUGAGGGAAAGAUGAAAAGAACUUUGAAAAGAGAGUUAAACAGUACGUGAAAUUGUCAAAAGGGAAGCGUUUGACACCAGUGUUGUUUUUCCGAAAAUCAAUUACGAAUGUUUUGUUUUUGAGAAGUUAUGACUUCAUCGGCUUGCUUCUUUCUUUACGAAACUUUCUUAAUGCACUUUUCGGUUAACAAGUCAACAUCAAUUUCUUUUGUUGUAAAAGGGUAUGAGGAAGGUGGCUUUCUUUUCGGAGAAAGUGUUUAUAGCCUUGUACCUCUGCAAUCGGAGAGAUUGAGGUCUGCAGCGUAGAUCCUUCGGGGUUAGAUACAUUUGUGCUAAGUUAUAGCUUUUCAUAGACAACUUGUUGACUAUGUUAGUCUUGUAGCUUACUCGCUUAUGCUAUUUUACCUACGCUUAGGAUGUUGAAGAUGUAGCACAUCAU